UUGAACAGGCUUAGCAAACAAAUGACA
rnacentral:miRNA from 1 species